rnacentral:rRNA from 1 species
ACUUUCAACAACGGAUCUCUUGGUUCUGGCAUCGAUGAAGAACGCAGCGAAAUGCGAUAAGUAAUGUGAAUUGCAAAAUUCAGUGAAUCAUCGAAUCUUUGAACGCACAUUGCGCCCCGUGGUAUUCCGCGGGGCAUGCCUGUUCGAGCGUCAUUUCA